AUGGCAGCAAUGACGCCUACCCACUGUUCGACUGAAUUCCGAAGCAGCGCUACACAUCCGAUACAAGCAAAGUCAGCAACUAAAAUCAUGGAGUCGUCACUGCCAACAACUUUGGUCAUGCCUGUCACCUCUGCGCACUUGGAUGCCCAUGAAUCCAUCUGCAUUCCCAGGUCAGCGGAGCUCAACGCCAUCGUCACUGUCGUCCCAAUACAGUCCAUGGUGACAAGUGCCAUCGUUGAAGAAUGCAUCGACAAGGACAGUCCGGAGAGGAACAUGUCUUUUGUGGCGCCACUAUCACGAUUUUCUAUCAGCCCUGUGUGUCAGGUGCUUGACGUCGGUUUCCUUCCUGUAGAGAUACGACCACCAUGGCCACCACCUCUGGUUUGCAGCAGCACACUGAUCACUCAAAUGGAUUGGUGUAGCAAAGAGAAGGGGAUACCACAGCCGGAUGUUUCACCAACGCCUUCGGCUGUCGGUUGUUUUGUUUGUACCCACGGGUCAACACCUGCACAAGAUCUGUGA
rnacentral:rRNA from 1 species